UCAGAAAGUCCUGCCAGAACUCUUUGCUGUACCCCUCCACUGCUCUGCUUUGUGUAAAUCCUGCUUGCUAUAUUCCCAGGGAAACUCCAAUGGAAUUAAGCCUCAGAGAUGUAAAAAGAGCCAAAGUGGAGUGAAGGAGAACACAUGGAAAGAACAUUUGGGCCAGAGACUCCCUACUGCAAGUGGGGUUCAAGGACCAACUGCACCAGCAUCAUCAGAGAAAAAUUCAGAAUCUCAGGCCCUACCUUAGACUUCUGGAACCUGAAUCUCCAUUUUAACCAGACACGGACUGACUGAUGUGCAUGUUAAAGUUUGAGAAGUUCUA
ensembl:lncRNA